rnacentral:ncRNA from 1 species
AAAAUAAAUGUUAUUAGCCAAAUGCCUAGUCAUCUAAUUAGUGACGCGUAUGAAUGGAUUAACGAGAUUCCCACUGUCCCUAUCUACUAUCUAGCGAAACCACAGCCAAGGGAACGGGCUUGGCAGAAUUAGCGGGAAAAGAAGACCCUGUUGAGUUGGACUCUAGUCUGACAUUAUGAGGAGACAUGAUGGAUGUAGUAUAGAUGGGAGCUGGGUGCUUCGGUGUCCAGCGCAAAUGAAAUACCACUGCUAUCAUUGUUUCUUUACUUAUUCAGUGAAACGGGAACGAAAUUGUAUUUUGGUUCAAAGCACAUUUCGGGGUGCGUGGUCUAUCGCUGCGUGCUUCGAUAUCUUGGUCAUGUCAGAUGAGUCGUGGUGCAAAUUGCGGUGUUUGAGUCUUCAUGUGAUUUGCAACACUUUCUGAAGACCAUGUCAGGCGGGGAGUUUGACUGGGGCGGUACAUCCGUCAAAUGGUAACGCGGGGGUCCUAUGGGGAGCUCAGUCAGGACAGAAACCUGGCGUAGAGGAAAAGGGCAAAAGCUUACUUGAUUUUGAUUUUCAGUACGAAUACAGACCGUGAAAGCGUGGCCUAUCGAUCCUUUUGAUGUUAAUUUCGGAGUUUGAAGCAAGAGG